rnacentral:tRNA from 1 species
AAAGUUUUAGGUUAAAUAGACCAGAGGACUCAUGCUCUUCUAGUGCUUUGCAGACUUUA